AUGCAGGAGAAUGGAUGUUGGAAGCUGGGGCCCUAGUUUUAGUAGAUGGAGGACUUUGCUGCAUAGAUGAAUUUGAUAGGUUGGGGAUCGAAUUGGCAAGGAGCAUUGCAAAGGUAAUUUGCAAGAGUUGUUAAACCCAGACAAAAAACAAGAUUUUAGUAAGAGAACAACAUCAAAUACAAAUUCAUUGGAGAUGGAUAAAAGUUGGAUCCAUCUUAACAGAGUAACGGUGGAAUAUGAGCAAAAAGCUAGAGAGUUUG